rnacentral:rRNA from 1 species
UACGUAGGAUCCAAGCGUUGUCCGGAUUUACUGGGUGUAAGGGGUGCGCAGGCGGACUGGUAAGUCUGUGGUGAAAUCUCGCCGCUUAACGGCGAAACUGCCUUAGAUACUAUCAGUCUUGAAUAAGCGAGAGAUCCGUGGAAUUCCGAGUGUAGCAGUGAAAUGUGUAGAUAUUCGGAAGAACACCAGAGGCGAAGGCAGCGGGUUGGCGCUUUAUUGACGCUCAGGCACGAAAGCAUGGGGAUCAAACAGG